AAGCUUCACCGUUUCAUCUGUUACGAAUUUCCUCCGGUAUGAUUAUUAUGGUCAUCAAUAUGCUUAUUAUUAUCCUCAUCAUCCACAAUCCUUCUCUUCCCUCUUCUUCCACCUCAAAACCCCAACCCUAAUCCCCUCCCUGCGCCUCCUCCCCUCCUUCACCCGCCUCCUCUCCUUCGUCACCCCCGAAGAGCCCGCUUCCGAGAGCCGCCGCCGCAAGCGCCGCCUCCGCAUCGAACCUCCCCUCUCCUUCCUCCGCCAGCCUCAACAGCAGCGCAUCCCCUCCAAAACCCCUAUAAAUCCUAACACCCCUAAGGUCCCCGAACCCCUCUCCACCCUCGCCGGCAAACGACUCAGCCUCCACAACAAGAUCCUAAACCUAAUCCGGGUCAACGAUCUCGAUGAGGCCUCGCUUUUGGUCCAUCACUCGAAUAAUUUCUGGCAUAUUUUUCGCUUCCGGAAGGAAUUGCUACUGCUGCUGGUUUGAUUGCUAUGAUGACUGACCACUACAAAAUUCUGGAAGGCAGUGACAGCGAGCAUGAAAGCAAUGAUGUAGCAAGAACAUCUCGCAGACCACAGAAGCGUGCUCGGGGUAAGUAUCGUCUCAUGUCAAAGGGUCCUGAUGGUCCUUGUCCAGAUCUGUUGCAACUUCAAUCUGCCUCAUCAAGUUAUGCAUGCAUGUCUUUAUUGAA